rnacentral:snRNA from 1 species
AUCACUUCUUGGCCUUUUGGCUUAGAUAAAGUGUAGUGUUUGUUCUCAUCAGAAUAGCUGUCAAAAUCUCUAGUGAGAGUCAAGUCAGGAAUUGGCCAGAAUAA